CUCAGAGAGACAUGUUCAGCUUCACUGGACUGAACCCUAAGCAGGUGCAGUACAUGAUUAAGGAGAAGCAUGUCUACCUGAUGGCCAGCGGUCGUAUCAACAUGUGUGGCCUCACCUCCAAGAACAUCGACUAUGUCGCAGAGUCCAUCCAUGAGACCGUGUCCAAGGUCCAGUAAGGCCCCGCCCUCCCUCCGCAUCCAGCUACUUUCUGCUUCCUGUCCACCACAGGAAGUACUGUUAAUUGUCACGUGUGGUCUCGUCAGGCACCCCCUUCUGUGACAACACACCCUUUCUCUAUAAGCAGUGCUUUAACCAUCUAUUGGUUGUCAAAUUUAGAAGAGCGAUGAUAUGACACGUGUUCACAGCAAUCAAUGUUAAUGAUCAACAGUAUAACUGGUUUCUGUCCAUCUUCUCUCCUCCUCAGAUUACUGAGACAUCUUUAAACAAUCUGAACGCAGACCUCUAGUCGAAGUAUUUCACUCUUCUGGCGAUCGUUAUGUUGCCUUUUAUUUAUUUUAUUGUGCCAUUUCCGGUUUUGAAAAUGUAUAAAAGAUGACUGUGUGCACUUUGGUUUUUAAAAAAAAAAAUGUUUCAGAGCACUUGAAAGUGAAGCAUUGCCAGAAGUUGAGUGAAAAGUUAGUGUAAAAUGAAUUGUACAUGCGAGCCCCCAGACCUCCUAUCUACAGACGACCACAACGCUUCUGAAAGUCUUUUCUUUACAACUGGUUCCAUUUAACAACAUUCUAGAACGUGUGAAAUGGUGCAUUGUGGAUCAAAUGCUCUGUGAUGUCAUGUGACAGGCUUGAAAGGUUCUUUACAGUUCAUGCAUGUGCCUAUAGGUCAAACGUUAACAGGAAAUGCCCUCUGAUAGGGUGAUAUAACCUUUUGAGCAGCUAUAUGCAGAUAUGUCCUAUAGGAAAAGCACAUACCACUACUGUGGUAACAGUUGAACCACAUAAAUGUCUGUGUCUUAGGUUCCGUGUUCGGCAUGUACUUGGUGUUAAGACUCUUACUCAUAAUAAUGCUGCUUAUGAAGGAUUGUUAACCACUGCCUUUAUCAGUGAUGUGUUUGUUUUGAUGUUUUGUUCACAGAACACAUACAGUUGGUCUUCCAACACACAGCCUCACGCCGUUAUAUUGACAUCCUGUCUGUGCAUUUCAUAAUAAUAAAUGAUGAAUCGUGUACUAAACUGAA